rnacentral:rRNA from 1 species
CCUACGGGAGGCAGCAGUGAGGAAUCUUGGUCAAUGGACGCAAGUCUGAACCAGCCAAGUAGCGUGCAGGAUGACGGCCCUCCGGGUUGUAAACUGCUUUUAGUUGGGAGUAAAAGGGGGCUCGUGAGCCCCGUAUUGUAUGUACCAUCAGAAACAGGACCGGCUAAUUCCGUGCCAGCAGCCGCGGUAGUACGGAAGGUCCGGGCGUUGUCCGGAUUUAUUGGGGUUAAAGGGAGCGUAGGCCGGCUUUUAAGUCAGCUGUGAAAGGCCGCGGCUCAACCGUGGAAUUGCAGUUGAAACUGGAGGCCUUGAGUGCACACAGGGAGGCCGGAAUUCAGGGUGUAGCGGUGAAAUGCGUAGAUAUCAGGAAGAACUCCGAUCGCGAAGGCAAGUGUCCGGGGUGCAACUGACGCUGAGGCUCGAAAGUGCGGGGAGCAAACAGGAUUAGAUACCCGAGUAGUC